rnacentral:rRNA from 1 species
GACAGAGGGUGCAAACGUUGUUCGGAAUUACUGGGCGUAAAGCGCGUGUAGGCGGCUAGGUAAGUCGGGCGUGAAAUCCCACGGCUCAACCGUGGAAGUGCACUCGAAACUGCAUAGCUAGAGUCCUGGAGAGGAAGGUGGAAUGCUUGGUGUAGAGGUGAAAUUCGUAGAUAUCAAGCGGAACACCGGUGGCGAAGGCGGCCUUCUGGACAGUGACUGACGCUGAGACGCGAAAGCGUGGGGAGCAAACAGG